rnacentral:rRNA from 1 species
ACGGGUGAGUAAUGUCUGGGGAUCUGCCCGAUAGAGGGGGAUAACCACUGGAAACGGUGGCUAAUACCGCAUAACGUCGCAAGACCAAAGAGGGGGACCUUCGGGCCUCUCACUAUCGGAUGAACCCAGAUGGGAUUAGCUAGUAGGCGGGGUAAUGGCCCACCUAGGCGACGAUCCCUAGCUGGUCUGAGAGGAUGACCAGCCACACUGGAACUGAGACACGGUCCAGACUCCUACGGGAGGCAGCAGUGGGGGAUAUUGCACAAUGGGCGCAAGCCUGAUGCAGCCAUGCCGCGUGUAUGAAGAAGGCCUUCGGGUUGUAAAGUACUUUCAGCGGGGAGGAAGGCGAUGCGGUUAAUAACCCUGUCGAUUGACGUUACCCGCAGAAGAAGCACCGGCUAACUCCGUGCCAGCAGCCGCGGUAAUACGGAGGGUGCAAGCGUUAAUCGGAAUUACUGGGCGUAAAGCGCACGCAGGCGGUCUGUUAAGUCAGAUGUGAAAUCCCCGGGCUUAACCUGGGAACUGCAUUUGAAACUGGCAGGCUUGAGUCUUGUAGAGGGGGGUAGAAUUCCAGGUGUAGC